GACGAACGCUGGCGGCGUGCUUAACACAUGCAAGUCGAACGGUAAGGCUCCAGCUUGCUGGGGUACACGAGUGGCGAACGGGUGAGUAACACGUGGGUGACCUGCCCUGCACUUCGGGAUAAGCCUGGGAAACUGGGUCUAAUACCGGAUAGGACCGCACCGUGAGGGUGUGGUGGAAAGUUUUUUCGGUGUGGGAUGGGCCCGCGGCCUAUCAGCUUGUUGGUGGGGUAAUGGCCUACCAAGGCGGCGACGGGUAGCCGGCCUGAGAGGGUGGACGGCCACAUUGGGACUGAGACACGGCCCAGACUCCUACGGGAGGCAGCAGUGGGGAAUAUUGCACAAUGGGCGGAAGCCUGAUGCAGCGACGCCGCGUGGGGGAUGACGGCCUUCGGGUUGUAAACUCCUUUCACCAUCCACGAAGGGUUUCUGACGGUAGAUGGAGAAGAAGCACCGGCUAACUACGUG
rnacentral:rRNA from 1 species